rnacentral:rRNA from 1 species
GGACCCGCACAAGCGGUGGAGUAUGUGGCUUAAUUCGAUGCAACGCGAAGAACCUUACCUAGGCUUGACAUGUAUUGCUAAGCACGUGAAAGCGUGUGACUCUUCGGAGACCUUACACAGGUGCUGCAUGGCCGUCGUCAGCUCGUGUCGUGAGAUGUUUGGUUAAGUCCAGCAACGAGCGCAACCCCUGUGGAUAGUUGCCAGCAAGUAAUGUUGGGACUCUAUCCAGACUGCCCAGGUCAACUGGGGAGGAAGGUGGGGAUGACGUCAGGUCAGUAUGGCCCUUACGCCUAGGGCUGCACACGUACUACAAUGCCCAGUACAAUGAGAACCGAGACCGCGAGGUGGAGGA